GUCACCCAUGCGGGCAUUGCCCAAUAUUCCUCACUGCUGCCUCCCCUACGGGAGGCAGCAGUGGGGAAUAUUGGACAAUGGGCGCAAGCCUGAACCAGCCAUCCCGCGUGCAGGAUGAAGGCCCUAUGGGUCGUAAACUGCUUUUAUACACCAAGAAAAAACACCACGAGUGGUGGA
rnacentral:rRNA from 1 species